GAUGAACGCUGGCGGCGUGCCUAAUACAUGCAAGUCGAGCGAACAGAUGAGGAGCUUGCUCCUCUGACGUUAGCGGCGGACGGGUGAGUAACACGUGGAUAACCUACCUAUAAGACUGGGAUAACUUCGGGAAACCGGAGCUAAUACCGGAUAAUAUAUUGAACCGCAUGGUUCAAUAGUGAAAGACGGUUUUGCUGUCACUUAUAGAUGGAUCCGCGCCGCAUUAGCUAGUUGGUAAGGUAACGGCUUACCAAGGCAACGAUGCGUAGCCGACCUGAGAGGAGGGUCGGCCACACGAGAACUGAGACACGGACCAGACUCCUACGGUAGGCAGCAGUAGGGAAUCUGCCGCAGUGGGCGAAAGCCUGACGGAGCAACGCCGCGUGAGUGAUGAAGGUCUUCGGAGCGGAAAACUCUGUUAUUAGUGAAGAACAAAUGUGUAAGUAACUAUGCACGUCUUGACGGUACCUAAUCAGAAAGCCACGGCUAACUACGUG
rnacentral:rRNA from 1 species